rnacentral:sRNA from 1 species
GUUGUUAGCUUUGUAUACAUGAGGGUAAGGCAUUUCUAUUGUAAUUUUUUUUUUAAAGUCUGUAAAUGACUUAUUCAUUCACUGUGCAUAAUUUCUAUGCACAGACCUUUGGUAAUCUCGUUGGACAAGGAAAUGUUUCAUUGAUACUUUUUUUGGACUGGUUUCCAAGGAUACGGGGCAUUAUUUCUGUUUCAAACUGGCAACACAUCUCCCCUGACCAGCAGAUUUGGACAGACUGUUGUACACCUAUACUUAUUGUAAAAACACAUACUGCUAUUUCAUUGUUGUGUUAUGUAAUUAUUUUUUCUAAGAUUCCGAACCUGCUCGUUGUUGCUUUAAUUUAGCUGAAAAUGUUUUUGUUUAUAUGAAUCUGUUUUCUUCAAUAAGGUUGAGUAGAAUUUUGAAUUAACAAACUAUCUGCUGUUCAACUUGUUCUCUAUUUUUAUCUCUCUGAUUGUUCACACCUCUGAUUAAUGCACCCUCUCAUUGUCAUUGUUAAGUCUCGAUAUAUGUAUCACCCAUUAAAGAAUCGGACAGACCUUUAUUAUAUCAUUAGGACAACCCUCUGUUUAACAUGAUAACUCUGUGUAAUUACAAGCACGUCUAUAAAUAGACACACCCCCUCACCUCUCGAUGUGCCUGGUACUCACUUCCGUGUAGAAACUUCCUGUUUUUUUAUAGACAGGAAUUGCGCUGCCCCCGUUCCUCCUUCCGUUUACAAUAAUCAAGAAAUCCUGAUCUGUUCUCGGUGUUUCUGAUGAUUAUUUUUUUUUCCUGUUGCUGUUGUGAUCAAACUUAUCUCAGUUCAUCAUGUCGUAACUCAAAUAUUGCGUGACAAGUUUGCAGAAAUAAAACUGUUCAUCAUCG